rnacentral:pre_miRNA from 1 species
CUUGUACUCCCUCCGUCCGAAAAUACUUGUCAUUGAAAUGGAUAUAUCUAGAUGUAUUUUAGUUCUAGACACAUCCAUUUUGAUGACAAGUAAUUCCGAACGGAGGGAGUACUUG